rnacentral:rRNA from 1 species
GACGAACCGUCCAAACGUUGUUCGGAAUCGCUGGGCUUAAAGGGCGCGUAGGCGGAUGCUCAAGUCGGUGGUGAAAUCUUUCGGCUCAACCGGAAAAGUGCCGCCGAUACUGGGGAUCUCGAGGGAGGUAGGGGUCGAGGGAACUUCCGGUGGAGCGGUGAAAUGCGUAGAUAUCGGAAGGAACGCCGGUGGCGAAAGCGCUCGACUGGACCUCUUCUGACGCUGAGGCGCGAAAGCCAGGGGAGCAAACGGG